UGGGCGAAAGCCUGACGGAGCAAUACCGCGUGAGGGAGGAAGGCUCUUGGGUUGUAAACCUCUUUUCUCAGGGAAGAAGAAAGUGACGGUACCUGAGGAAUAAGCAUCGGCUAACUCCGUGCCAGCAGCCGCGGUAAUACGGAGGAUGCAAGCGUUAUCCGGAAUGAUUGGGCGUAAAGGGUCCGCAGGUGGCAUUGUAAGUCUGCUGUUAAAGAGUUUGGCUCAACCAAAUAAAAGCAGUGGAAACUACAAAGCUAGAGUGUGGUCGGGGCAGAGGGAAUUCCUGGUGUAGCGGUGAAAUGCGUAGAUAUCAGGAAGAACAUCGGUGGCGAAGGCGCUCUGCUAGGCCAAAACUGACACUGAGGGACGAAAGCUAGGGGAGCGAAUGGGAUUAGAUACCCCAGUAGUCCUAGCCGUAAACGAUGGAUACUAGGCGUAGCUCGUAUCGACCCGAGCUGUGCCGUAGCUAACGCGUUAAGUAUCCCGCCUGGGGAGUACGCAGGCAACUGUGAAACUCAAAGGAAUUGACGGGGGCCCGCACAAGCGGUGGAGUAUGUGGUUUAAUUCGAUGCAACGCGAAGAACCUUACCAAGGCUUGACAUGUCACGAAUUCUAUUGAAAGAUGGAAGUGCCUUCGGGAACGUGAA
rnacentral:rRNA from 1 species